rnacentral:rRNA from 1 species
GAUGAACGCUGGCGGCGUGCCUAAUACAUGCAAGUCGAGCGAACAGACGAGGAGCUUGCUCCUCUUACGUUAGCGGCGGACGGGUGAGUAACACGUGGGUAACCUACCUAUAAGACUGGGAUAACUUCGGGAAACCGGAGCUAAUACCGGAUAAUAUAUUGAACCGCAUGGUUCAAUAGUGAAAGACGGUUUUGCUGUCACUUAUAGAUGGAUCCGCGCCGCAUUAGCUAGUUGGUAAGGUAACGGCUUACCAAGGCAACGAUGCGUAGCCGACCUGAGAGGGUGAUCUGCCACACUGGAACUGAGACACGGUCCAGACUCCUACGGGAGGCAGCCGUAGGGAAUCUUCCGCAAUGGGCGAAAGCCUGACGGAGCAACGCCGCGUGAGUGAUGAAGGUCUUCGGAUCGUAAAACUCUGUUAUUAGGGAAGAACAAAUGUGUAAGUAACUAUGCACGUCUUGACGGUACCUAAUCAGAGAGCCACGGCUAACUACGUG